rnacentral:rRNA from 1 species
CCUACGGGAGGCAGCAGUCGGGAAUAUUUGUCAAUGGGCGCAAGCCUGAACGAGCGAUGCCGCGUGCGGGAAGACGGCUCUAUGAGUUGUAAACCGCUUUCAUGCGAGGGUAAACUCAGAUACGCGUAUCGGUCUGAAAGUAUCGUGCUCAUAAUGAUCGGCCAACUCCGUGCCAGCAGCGGCGGUAAUACGGAGGAGGCAAGCGUGAUACGGAUUGAUUGGUUUGAGAGGGUGCGUAGGCGGGCGGAUAAGUUAGAGGUGAAAUCCCGAGGCUCAACUCCUGAAUGGCCUCUGAUACUGGUCGGCUAGAGAGUAGGUGAGGUAGGCGGAAUGCAUGGUGUAGCGGUGAAAUGCUUAGAUAU